rnacentral:rRNA from 1 species
UACGUAGGGUGCAAGCGUUGUCCGGAAUUAUUGGGCGUAAAGAGCUCGUAGGCGGUUCGUCGCGUCGGCUGUGAAAACCCGAGGCUCAACCUCGGGCCUGCAGUCGAUACGGGCGGACUGGAGUUCGGCAGGGGAGACUGGAAUUCCUGGUGUAGCGGUGAAAUGCGCAGAUAUCAGGAGGAACACCGGUGGCGAAGGCGGGUCUCUGGGCCGAUACUGACGCUGAGGAGUGAAAGCGUGGGGAGCGAACAGG